CUUGGUCAUUUAGAGGAAGUAAAAGUCGUAACAAGGUCUCCGUUGGUGAACCAGCGGAGGGAUCAUUACUGAGUUGCAAAACUCCAACCCUUUGUCAUUAUCUACUCUCGUUGCUUCGGCGGGCGGCCCCAGGGCGGGCUUGCGUCUGCCUGCCGAAGACUUCAAACUCUUGUUGUUUUGGUAUCUUUCUGAAACCUAAAAAAUCAGUUAAAAACUUUCAACAACGGAUCUCUUGGUUCUGGCAUCGAUGAAGAACGCAGCGAAAUGCGAUAAGUAAUGUGAAUUGCAGAAUUCAGUGAAUCAUCGAAUCUUUGAACGCACAUUGCGCCCGUUAGCAUUCUAGCGGGCAUGCCUGUUCGAGCGUCAUUUCAACCCUCAGCUUCUACACUGUAUUUGCUGGUGUUGGGGUCCUCUGCGGCUGCCGCAGGCCCUGAAAAACAGUGGCGGGCUCCGCUAUACUCCGAGCGCAGUAAUACCUCUCGCUUAGGGUGUAUGGUGGAGGUCCAGCCCUUUUUUUAAACUUUUUGUGGUUGACCUCGGAUCAGGUAGGAAUACCCGCUGAACUUAAGCAUAUCAAUAAGCGGAGGA
rnacentral:rRNA from 1 species